UACAGAGGGUGCAAGCGUUAAUCGGAAUUACUGGGCGUAAAGCGUGCGUAGACGGUUGCGUAAGUCAGAUGUGAAAGCCCCGGGCUCAACCUGGGAAUUGCAUUUGAGACUGCGUAGCUAGGGUGCGGAAGAGGGAAGCGGAAUUUCCGGUGUAGCGGUGAAAUGCGUAGAUAUCGGAAGGAACACCAGUGGCGAAAGCGGCUUCCUGGUCCAACACCGACGUUCAGGCACGAAAGCGUGGGGAGCAAACAGG
rnacentral:rRNA from 1 species